rnacentral:rRNA from 1 species
GACGAACGCUGGCGGCGUGCUUAACACAUGCAAGUCGAACGAAGAGCGAUGGAAGCUUGCUUCUAUCAAUUUUAGUGGCGCACGGGUGUGUAACGCGUAAUCAACCUGUCCUUCAGAGGGGGACAACAGUUGGAAACGACUUCUAAUACCGCAUACGUUCUAAUCUCGGCAUCGAGGAUAGAUGAAAGGUGGCCUCUACAUGUAAGCUAUCACUGAAGGAGGGUAAUGUGUCUGAUUAGCUAGCUGGAGGGGUAACGGCCGACCAAGGCGAUGAUCAGUAGCCGGUCUUGGGAGAUGAACGGCCCCAUUGGGACUGGAGCACGGCCCAGAAUCCUAAGGGAGGCAGCAGUGGGGGAUCUUCCGCAAUGGAGGAAAGGCUGACGGGGCAACGCCGCGUGAGUGAUGACGGCCUUCGGGUUGUAAAGCUCUGUUAAUCGGGACGGAAGGCCUUCUUGCGAAUAGUGAGAAGGAUUGACGGUACCGGAAUAGAAAGCCACGGCUAACUACGUG